AAUUGAGUUCCAUCUUCAUGACAACCAAUAAACCAGCAAGUGUUCUUUUCAGAGCAUUGGAUUGCAGCCUCAUUCAUCUGCUGGGGGUGAACGACUGUGGUAUCUCUCACGCACGGGACUUUCAGCUCCAGCAUCAUUUGGACCGUCCCUCUCUUCUGGCAGGGAAAUUGGGCUGGCACAACGACCAUUGUCAGGGCUGGCACCACCCCUCUCAUAAGGACUAUGACUGGAACCA
rnacentral:misc_RNA from 1 species